GGGCCGGUAGUUCAGUCUGGUAUGAAUUAUGACGCUAUACAAAGGCGCCAUUAGUACAGAUGCCGCCUUCGCAAGGCGGAGGCCGCGGGUUCGAAUCCCGCCCGGUCCACCA
rnacentral:tRNA from 1 species